UUAGUGGCGGACGGGUGAGUAACGCGUGGGAAUUUGCCUUUCGGUACGGGAUAACUAAGGGAAACUUUAGCUAAUACCGCAUACGCCCUACGGGGGAAAGAUUUAUCGCCGAUUGAGAAGCCCGCGUCGGAUUAGCUUGUUGGUAGGGUAAUGGCCUACCAAGCCGACGAUCCAUAGCUGGUUUGAGAGGAUGAUCAGCCACACUGGGACUGAGACACGGCCCAGACUCC
rnacentral:rRNA from 1 species